rnacentral:lncRNA from 1 species
GCUUGGACUUUUACGUUGCUUAUGGGCUGGUCUAUAUGAUCCAACGUCUAUAUAUUCUCGAUCAGUCAGACCGAUUAUCCUCUCCUUCAGGCUAGUCGGAGUAGUCACAUCCAUUUCCACUGUCUUCUCAGAUACAUCAUCAGGUGUGGUAGUACCAGCCGUGGUUGCUGCUGCUGUGGGGAAAGGCGGAUACGGAGGAGGAUUGUACAGUCCAGGACCGGGACUGGAACCCGGACCGGUUUGACGGCCCGUGUAUGGUUGGGAAGACAUCCAAUGGUCAAGCCAGUUCCAACCCCAUUGAGUUCUAUCAAGCCCGUUGACAGAAAAUCCAAUUGUCUCGUCGUCAUAUGUGUGUUGCAUUUGCCGCUUCAAUAUGAAAACCGUAAUCAUAAGUAUGCAAAUAAUACAUAUAUUUCUGAUUUCAUGUAUAACAUUAACAUCCAAAGUUCAAUUUUAUCCAAACUGAAAAAGAGAGAUGCCCAACCUGGUAGGUGUAUGCAUAAGCAAGAGCCCUCUCUCUUUUCAUCAUUCCUUCACUCUUCUCUUUUUCCUGUAUAUACUCAAAAUAUAAUUUACAAUUAUAGUAAUAUGUUCUAAAAAAUAUUUUGGAGUGUCUAAGAUUAUUCCACAUUACCUUUCCUGGAGUUUGGUACAGGCUGGUUCGGUUCACUUCGUGCAAAUUCUUGGGUUUCUCUCGUUCGGUUUGGAGAUUCGUAGACCCUACAAACCACACAAUUACAAAUUUUAUUUUCACCAUCAUAAGUGUAUAUAUAUAUAUAUAUGUCUAUGUUUCAAAAAAAAAAUAUAUAUAUAUGUAUAUCUGAUUUUGUACCAAAAUCAAUUCAAUAUAUAUACCUAUGUUCGGUUUUUCCAUCCCAGAUCGCCUCUCUUCUUCUUGAAACUGUUUCUUAAACCGGUCAUGAGCAACUUGGAGCCUUCUCGCUCUCACUCGGCCUUGGACACGAACCAGAGCUUGCAUGCAUUUCAUUGUCAUUUGUGCCUGUUUUCGUACGUGGUUGCCACGUACCAAUGCUUGUAGCCUAACUAGCCCUUUUAAGGCACGAAGUGCUCGUCUCGCCUACAAUAGAGAGAUGAAACCCCAAAAGAAAAUCAUAACCUUGGACAAACCGGUUUAUUUCUUAAUAUUGCUGGUUUAGGAUUAGUUUACAACUACAAGUUACGAUGAAUGAAUGAGCUACGUUAAUCAACGAAUUUGUAUACAAAUUUCAGUUAACACGGGUGUAAUCGUAGUACGAAAUGAAUUUAAUUAUACUAUGAUUUAAAACAAAAUGUAUUUCGAUUUUUGAAGGUGGUCGUGAGAGUUGAAAAUUAUUUAUUUAUAGCAAAACAAAAUUAGGUAUCAGGAAAGUUACCAAAUACCCCCUGUAGUGCGAUUGGAUGAGCACUGCGGCUGUAUCUUCCUCUGUCUGACGGUUGUAGCCGGCAAGACGAACGACUUUAGCUGCGGCUUGUGCUGCAGCAACGGCGGCUUCAGCGACCAAAACUUUGAUUUUUUUUUGUAGACAUCACCAGAAGCUACUCUACAAAGAUUAGUUAUUUUUGUGUUUAACUAAGAAAUUAAAAGACUGACCAAAAAUUAAAUCAAGUGAAGACUUCUUUCUUUUUUGAACAACUAUCAAAUGUAUACUUCUAAUUAUGUCUUUCUCUGCUAAAAAAGUAAGCUUCAAAAGAAGAUUAUGGUCAACACAAAACUAUGUUUUCAAGUGGACUUGAGAUGAAGUCUAUUUCUGGAAAGUCAAAAUUACUUUUGAAAAAAUAAUUCUAAGAAAGUCAAAAUUGGUCGGUUGCAAAUCCUAACCUUUUACAUUUUUUGAAAUAAAUAGAUUACCAAUAAAGUCCACUCUACGAAGUCAAACUCUAAGAAAAUUCUUGUCAAUUGCAAAACUAACAUUCUUUUAUAUAUUUAUUGUGCAGUCUACUCACCAAAACAUUUUGAAUAAAAAAUAACCUACAAAAAAUUUAAUUGCAAAGAAUAAUCUAGAUUGUAGACUUCUUUGUCAGUCUACAGUAACACGAAGUUUACUCUUAGCGGCCAUGAACAGAUUUUAAAAGCUAAUAAGUUAUAUUAUGGAACUAUCAAAUUUCUUGUUUUAAUAGAUUGUAAGUGUAGACUUUAUGGGAAGUAUGCAUAUGUAAUUUUACUAUAUGAAAAUAUUUACAAAUUUUGAAAUAUUAUUUAAUUCUAUUCUUUUAUAAUUAUACAUUUUUAUUACUAAAUAUUUGUUUUCAAAAUUUAUGCAUUUAAAGAAAAAAAUUAUAAUCCUAUUAUACCAUUAAUUUCUUUUUAAUAUAUACAAAUGCAACUAAUACUAUUUAGUUGUACUUUUUUGAUAAUUAUACAUUUUGUUAUAUCUGAUAAUUUUCUCUUAAUUUUAUUAAAAAUUAUUUAAUAUAUUGUAACCAAAAGAAAUAGAUAAAAAAUUCUAUCCAAGAUUUUAAUUUUAAAUAUAUAUAUUCUUAAAUAUCAAUUUUUAUCUUAAUUUUAUGUUUAAUUAAAUAAAACUAAAAUGAAAUUAUUGGUAAUAAAAACUAAUAUAUUAACAAAAUUUUGUUUUUAAUAUAAUUUAAAAAAUGUUUUGCUGCACAUGGUGCCUGAAACCACAUAAUUCUCUCUAUUUUUGCUCAUCAUUAUAUAAAACUGCAACAUAGCACUUUUUUUUAAAAUGUAAAAAUUAUUUAAAAACAAAAGUGACUGAUAAAAUUUGAAUCAUUGGUGAAAAUAUCUUUUGUUUUCUUACAAAAAUCGUCUAAACUAAUAUUUUUGGUAAAACACUAAAACUCAUAAAAACAGAGCAUUGAAAGUUAAUGAAGGACAUAAUAAGGUUUUAAUACAUCAUCAAACUCCUAAACAAAAGGGUAUUAGAUGUUAAUUAACAACCUGAAAAUUACUCGGUAUUAGCUGGUCUUUGAAGUUCCAAAUAAAUAUUAACAUUGUUAUCUCAGGUGACACUCUUCAAGAUAUCUCUCACAAUCAUAUUUGCACUUCGUGUUUUUAGUCUCAGACAAACAACUACCAAAACUAGAUUGUUACCUAGUAUUUGUUCGAUCAAUGAUCUAUACUUUGCGCAAGUGUGUGGUUUAUAUAUAGCCUCAUGAGCUAACCGAAAAUAUGUUGAUUGUGGGAAGAAGACCCUUAAUGAAGAAAGAUUGGAUCGCUGCCGUGAAGUCAUUCUCCACUGUUUCCCAUGAAGCCUUAUAGAACUCACUUGUGAAUCCAUCAGGCCUCGGAGAUUUGUCAUUUAGCAUAACAAAUAAUGUUUUUAAUUUCCCCUUAAGUCACUUCCUGCUCAAGAUGCGAAAUAUCUUUUGACCCGCAUCUGGAUUGCAAAAGAACUUCCAGUUCUUCCACUGUCAUAUCAUGAUAGUCAUCUGGCUCGUGAGUCAAAAAAUCCUUAAAAAAUCUCUCAAAUCUCAUACUGAUAUGUGGCCUUGGACGGUCAUCUACCAGAUUGUUAAGAACCUCUUUGAUCUGCUGACGGCGGCCCCAACUUUAGUCUCAUCCCCUGUUUUCAGUAGAACUCCAUUAAUUAUGAUCAACCACCUCUCUGAUUAUAUUCCUCAUCCAACGGAUCAGCGUCAUUUUGUAAAAAUAUGAAAAUUACAUGUCGAUCUCUUUGUGUAAUGUUAUGUAUAAGGGAGUCUCAAAAACCCUUGCAAACAGACUAAAAAAAUGCAUCUGAAGUUCAUUACCCCAAAACAAUCUGUUACUUACAACAAAGAUAGUGAAAGACUAUCACAAAGAGAACAUAUCACCAAUAUGUGCAAUGAAAAUUGACAUAUCAAAAGCAUUUAAUUUAGUUCAGUGGGAAUUUUUUAUACUCUUUUUGCUUUAGGUUUCCCGCCGAAUUAUAUACACUAGAUCAAACUUUGCAUAACGAUAGUCUAUUUCCCGGUCCAAGUAAAUGGACAGCUAGCCAUCUUUUUCAGAGUAAAAGAGGGUUGCGUGAAGGCAGUGCUGCACCAUAUCAUUUGCGAGUAAUUCAUUCUUCGGCAGGUAUUUGAAAUAGCAACAACACAGACUUGUACAUAGACCAAGCCGAUAUUACAUCAUUCAGGAAGUCAAGAGAAGAUAUGUUCAUUUAUUAAUUUCAUAUAAUACAAUUAUGUAAAGAAGAUAUAUUGAAACAAGAAAAUUAACCAAAAACACAGACUUGUACAUUUUUAUUUCAAGAAACCAAAAAAAAUCAGAUAUAUCUUCUAGAGAUCAUGCCUCCAGCCUCUCUUCCCAACCCCAGUAGGACUUUGACUAGGACUAACCGGUUUACGGAAAUCCAUUUUCGGGAUAGGACUCCUCAGAGCGGGAUAACCAGUUGAUACUACACCAGAACUUGACGAAUCACAACCCGAUUCAUUAAUCGACCUGUUUUUGGUCGAGGAGUUCCAAUACGGCAUAAAAGAAGUACCUUGAAUCUUGACGGUCGUGUCUUGGUCUCGAACUUUAGCCUUUGCUGAUGCGGUUGGAGUCAUAUAGCUUGGUAUAUGGCUUGGACUUUUACGUUGCUUAUGGGCUGGUCUAUAUGAUCCAACGUCUAUAUAUUCUCGAUCAGUCAGACCGAUUAUCCUCUCCUUCAGGCUAGUCGGAGUAGUCACAUCCAUUUCCACUGUCUUCUCAGAUACAUCAUCAGGUGUGGUAGUACCAGCCGUGGUUGCUGCUGCUGUGGGGAAAGGCGGAUACGGAGGAGGAUUGUACAGUCCAGGACCGGGACUGGAACCCGGACCGGUUUGACGGCCCGUGUAUGGUUGGGAAGACAUCCAAUGGUCAAGCCAGUUCC